ensembl:lncRNA
AUUCACUCUCUGCUGUAAUUUUCGGGAGGAGAUUUGGAAGAUUCUUGCUGUCUUCGUAGUCAAGGUGACCCCAUACUGCCUCUAUAAAUUCAGGUUGGCGUGGUGGCAGAAAUUUGAGGAAGAACAUUGGAAGAAGAACACCAGAAGAAUGAUGGCCUUCCUUUUAAACCACUCCCUAUCAAGAUAGUACAAUUUUGUUGGCCGCCAUGGAAAGCGAGAGUUUCGGGGGCUCAAACUGUUUGAGGUUGUAUAUGGUAUGUUUACUCGCUGUUUAACAUAUUAAUGUGCAAACAAAGGUUAUUUUGUAUGCAA